rnacentral:lncRNA from 1 species
GCAGGCGGGGCUGAAGGCGUUGGUGCCGCACACGUACAGAUGGGUGCGGUUGAGCGGCACCACCACGCGGAUGAAGUUGAAGCACUCCGUCUCGGGGCUCUUCCUCUUUAAGCCGCAUUCCCUCUUCUUCUCCUCAGUGGGUCCCCACGGCACCGUGGCCACGAGGCGCGGCGCUGUGGGGUCGCUGACGUUCAGUGCCAGCAGCGCAUCGCGGGCGCCCACGUAGAGCAGCGCCUCCUCCGCC